UACGGAGGGGGCAAGCGUUAUUCGGAUUUACUGGGCGUAAAGGGUGUGUAGGCGGUCGUGCAAGUCUGGUGUGAAAUCUUCACCACUCAACGGGAAGAGGUCACUGGAAACUGCAUGACUUGAGUUUGGUAGAGGCUAGCGGAAUUCCUGGUGUAGCGGUGGAAUGUGUAGGUAUCAGGAAGAACACCUGUGGCGAAGGCGGCUAGCUGGGCCAAUACUGACGCUGAGACACGAAAGCGUGGGGAGCAAACGGG
rnacentral:rRNA from 1 species